rnacentral:tRNA from 1 species
GUCUGGUUAGCUCAGUUGGUAGAGUGUCCAACUUUUGAUUUUGGCUCAGGUCAUCAUCUCAUGGUCGUGAGAUCAAACCUCACAUCAGGCU